CCGCCGGCCCCACGCACGACCCGCACAGCUGGGGUUUGGCCGCCAAAUAACGUAUUUAGACAGCAUUUGGGGCUUUAAGCACGAGAAAAACGCUGCGGGCGGGCUCGGCGACAUCCCCGUGAAUACCCGCGGAACGAAUUCAGUACGAAAACCUUUGCGGUCAAAAGCUAAACCUGCUGCAAGUGGCAAAGGUGGACGGCCCUCGCGGUCGCCCUGCUUCCUCCUGCUGCACUGCUUUAGGUGUUCGGAGAGACGGGGCUUGGGCAUGGCAGAGCGGCGCGGUGUCGGCCCCGCUCCCAGCGCAGGGGCCAGCGGGCUGGGGGUGGUCCUGCCGGAGCCCUUCUUGAGCCAGCAGCUUCCCCCUGCCUGGCGUGGCGAAGGGAGGGUAAGGAGCUGAGCGUUGAGAAAACUCAGCGUUGCUGGUACGGACGAAAUACGCUUUCCGGGCACCCACAGGAGUCUUCGCCUUUUCGCUUCGCUUGGGAACUAAAUGGGGUUUGGACUUGCCCGGGGAUGAUCCUUUGGGCUCUAAGCUCGUGAGGAAGAUGAGCACAUGCUUGUGCAGAUGCCGGGAGUGUUUGCCCAGGUGGAGUGCCCCGUCUGUGAAGUGGAGGCUGUUUGCAGACUCUUACAGCUGGACGGAUCAGUUCAAGCAGCACCACGGCGUGACCAGAAUUUCUGACCCAAAAGCCCUUGUACCAGGUGGGAAUUGAUCCCUUUUGCUGCUGCCUGAUUUGUGCGAGAGCUGAGCCUGCUGUUGCCAGCUAGCCCAUGCCCACUUGGACUGAGGAGCUGUGCUGCCUGGGUUUUCCUUCAGGAUAUGUAGCCAUGGGACUUUAUGUAUUAUGAGAUGCUUCACAAAAACACCUUUUAAAAUAAUCAUGUAUCUGCAAAUGAAUUGGAAACUCUUCUCUCCCCUGUCUCUGCAAAGACAUUACUCAGUCAAAUGCAACCAGAAAAUUGAAGGACUGAGAAUUUUCAAUCAGGACUUGGGUGAUUAAUUGUCUCGGAGCACUCACAGGGUGACCUGCAUGGCAAACAACAAGGUAUGACAUCUCACGAUUCACAACGAGAGGUGUGUCCAGGAGGGACAGCAGUGAUCCAUAGAGAGGAGAGAGAUGGGAGAAGAAAGGUCAAACUUACAACACUAAAUUCACAAGGUUAAUAACGCCUUAGCAUCAUGCGUGUUUAUCUGAUUCCUUCACUUUGGCUGAGCCGGCACGGCUGUCCCUGCUUCUGAUGUUACCCUGCAACAGAGGCAAAAGAAAUUGGUUUCUUUUCAUCUAUGGCAAAAAGGUUUAUGGUAAGACACACAGUAAGAUGGACCAUUGCCACCUCUCAGCUGAUGCACUGACUUGUUAAGGCACGUGAAAAAAAGCAGCAUACACACCAUGAAGAAGCAAGGUGAUAGCUGCAUCUCUUGCACACAGCUCUACAGGCAGAUACAGAAGAUGGACACAUACGUGUGCAAGCAUCACUGUAGGCAUCCACCCUGUGGAAACUGCAUGUCUAACCUGGGUGCCUUUGGCCAUAAUAACAAGUCAGAUCUUGGCAGAGGCUCAAGACGGGCUUCUCUGAUGCAGCAGUACUGCACUGGGGGCUUGCACAUGGUCCCCUCCUGAGAAACCGGAGACAGCACAUGCAGCUGGCGUCACCCAGGGCCUCAGCACCAGCACGUCUCACUGAGCCUCUGGACCACAGGUUUUCAUCUUGAUUUAGUGUGCAGGAUGAAUGGCCUUCCCCCAAUCAGUCUUACUCCGGAUCCGAAAAUGCAAGCUCCUUCUCUUGGAGCCAAGAAUUAUUUCUAUGAUAUUCUUUAAUAAAGGCACCUAUCCAAUACUUGGGGUGUCCUGGCAUAAUCAAUCAUGAAAUUAAAUUCAGUUUGUGCAGUGUUCAAAUCAAUUCUGCGGGAAUAACACUGGCUGACUGGCACUUACCCUGUUCAUCAUCUAGAGAGCCUUUGCUGUCCAGCCUAUUUUAGAAACUGGAGUAGGCUUCAGAAACCACCAGUAUGGGGCUUUCAGGAGCCCACAUGGAGGAUAUCCCCUCCACAUCCUCUGCUUACCCAACUGGUGUCUGAUCAACUUGCCUGUAGGAGUCAAUUAUAUGGAACUUAGUGACUGGGCCUGAAAGUAGGUGAAAGGUCAGGGGUACACAAGAGCAUUCCAGACGCCUUUAGAAGGCCUUGAACAGAAUAAACAAGAAGACAAAAAAAAAAAAAAAAAAAAAGAAAGAUGCCAAUUAGAAGAACACAGGUGCGCAUUCCACGAUAAAGGGAACUUGGCACAAAGAACCUCAAUUCAGCAGUUUAUCUUGAUCAAUUUGACUGAGACAAGUUUUGCAUGUUUUAGUUGAUAUAACCAAUUAUGUCCUAUGUUUAUGCACGUGUACAGGGUUAGUAUAACCAAUUAUAUCUUAUGUUUAUGCGCGUGGACACUAUAUGCUUGCAUGCAGCAACCAAUCAGAGCUUUUAAGGAACUUAGAGAAUUGUAUAAGAAUGAUCUGCUAUGCUCAAUAAACUGGCGACUUUGAUCAUCA